UCCAAUCCACCUAGAAAGAUCUGAGGCUGAUGUUCAUGGGAAACAGCAUCCCUGAAGUACUCUGACUACCUUGCUGCUUGCCACACACCUUGUGCACACCGUACCAUCACAAGUGCUUCAUGUGCUUGCAAUCCUGUGCUAGGGAUCGGAUUCAGAGCUUCAUGUAUGCUAAGCAUGUGCUGUACCGAUGAGUGACACUUCCAGCCCCAUAUUAGGACACAGGAAAACACAAAGGGAAGGCACACAGGGUGAAGACAGCCAUCUACAGGCCACGGAGAGGGGCCUCACAAGAACCCAACCCUGCCAACAACGGGAUCUCAGAC